GUGGGGAAUUUUGGACAAUGGGCGCAAGCCUGAUCCAGCAAUGCCGCGUGCAGGAAGAAGGCCUUCGGGUUGUAAACUGCUUUUGUACGGAACGAAACGGUCCUGGUUAAUACCUGGGGCUAAUGACGGUACCGUAAGAAUAAGCACCGGCUAACUACGUGCCAGCAGCCGCGGUAAUACGUAGGGUGCGAGCGUUAAUCGGAAUUACUGGGCGUAAAGCGUGCGCAGGCGGUGCUGUAAGACAGGCGUGAAAUCCCCGGGCUCAACCUGGGAAUUGCGCUUGUGACUGCAGUGCUGGAGUACAGCAGAGGGGGAUGGAAUUCCGCGUGUAGCAGUGAAAUGCGUAGAUAUGCGGAGGAACACCGAUGGCGAAGGCAGUCCCCUGGGCCUGUACUGACGCUCAUGCACGAAAGCGUGGGGAGCAAACAGGAUUAGAAACCCCAGUAGUCC
rnacentral:rRNA from 1 species